rnacentral:rRNA from 1 species
UACGGAGGGUGCAAGCGUUGCUCGGAAUUAUUGGGCGUAAAGGGUAGGUAGGUGGUCUCAUUUGUCUGGGGUGAAAGCCUUGAGCUUAACUCAAGAAGUGCCCCGGAAACGGUGAGACUCGAGUGCUGGAGAGGGUCGUGGAAUUCCCGGUGUAGCGGUGAAAUGCGUAGAGAUCGGGAGGAACACCAGAGGCGAAGGCGGCGACCUGGACAGUGACUGACACUCAACUACGAAAGCGUGGGGAGCAAACAGG